rnacentral:lncRNA from 1 species
AAGGAAGGAAGGAAGGAAGGAAGGAAAAGCAAGUUCUCACGCCCCCUGCCCCGACCUCCUGACAGGCCCCUCUGGGGCUUCUCGUGCGCCUCAGGUUUGAGAACCACUGGUCUAGAUGACGGGCUUUCUCUCGCAUGAGCCCAGAGUUCUGAAAACCACGUCUCUGUCUCUGCUCUCAGUUCACCCACUUGCCUAAGACCAUUCUAGGUGCAGAGAAGAAACACCCACUGACUGUCUCCAAAGGCUGGAACACCAGGGAGGAGAGGAGAGGGGAGGGGAGGGUUGCUCAUAGAAACGGAGAUGCGGCUUGUGGUCCCGGAGGUGGAGAGCGGGGAGGGAGUUGGCUGGAGGUGGUCAGAAGAUACCAACUUCUCGGGCGUUCCCUCCGUGGCUCAGCGGUGAACGAACCCAGCUAGGAUCCACGAGGAUGCGAGUUCGAUCCCUGGCCUUGCUCAGUGGGUGAAGGGUCCAGCGUGGCCGUGAGCUCUGGUGUAGGUUGCAAAUACAGCUCGGCUCCUGCGUUGCUGUGGCUGUGGCGCAGGCUGGCAGCUGUAGGUUCGAUUAAACCACUAGCCUGGGAACCUCCAUGUGCUGCAGGUGCAGCCCUAAAAUAGCAAAAAAAAAAAAAAAAGAAAGAGAAACCAACUUCCAAUUAUAAGAUAAGUAAGUACUAGGGCUGUCACAUGUAACACGGUGAGUAGAAUUAUCACUGCCGUGCGUUGUGGAUGUGAGAGUUGAGAGUAAAUCCUGCGUUCUCAUCGCAAGGAAAAUGUCUUUUUUUCUUGGCGUUCCCUGGUGCCCUAGCAGCUAAGGAUUUGGUGGUGUCACUGCUGGGGUGCAUAUUCGAUCCCCACCCUUGGAACUUCUGCAGGUUGCGGGCAGGGCAAAAUCCUUCUUUUUCUUUUAUUUUGUAUCUCGGUGAAAUGGAGGGUGUUCCCCGAACUUCCUGCGAUGAUCCCGGCGGGACGUAGCUUGUUUUUUGUUCUUGGAAGUCUCGCAGCGCCUCACCCAGCACGGAGUCUGGUGCACAGCAGAUCCUGUUUGUGGGGUGCAAAUGUGGGGCUCCCACUCCUGUUCCUCCGACUGUUUAAGGCAGCGGCCGUGGUGGUGGAUACCCGUCAUGGAGCCUGGCACACAGUGUGUCAUUGGCCUCAGGGAAGAGCCCGGGACAGAGAGAAUCUGGGGCAGGGUCCUGGCAAGACAGCCCGCAUGUACAUCCCUUCCGGGGCCUCCCAUGUCCCGUACGGGUUGCCACGAGGACCAUGGGAACCGAGGAAGGGUAAGCAUCCGGGUAAGGGUAAGCAUCCGGGUCUGAUGUGUUUGCAGAAUGAGGGAGGGAGGCGAUGGGCACAACGGCGGAUAAGGGGGACCCAGAGGCAGACUCUG